rnacentral:misc_RNA from 1 species
GAUGAAGAACGUAGCGAAAUGCGAUAAGUAAUGUGAAUUGCAGAAUUCAGUGAAUCAUCGAAUCUUUGAACGCACAUUGCGCCCCCUGGUAUUCCGGGGGGUAUGCCUGUCCGAGCGUCAUUACAACCCUCAAGCUCAGCUUGGUGUUGGGCCCCGCCGCCCCGGCGGGCCCUAAAGUCAGUGGCGGUGCCGUCCGGCUCCGAGCGUAGUAAUUCUUCUCGCUCUGGAGGUCCGGUCGUGUGCUCGCCAGCAACCCCCAAUUUUUUUCAGGUUGACCUCGGAUCAGGUAGGGAUACCCGCUGAACUUAAGCAUAUCAAUAAGCGGAGGA